UACGUAGGGUGCAAGCGUUAAUCGGAAUUACUGGGCGUAAAGCGUGCGCAGGCGGUUCUAUAAGACAGAUGUGAAAUCCCCGGGCUCAACCUGGGAACUGCAUUUGUGACUGUAGAGCUGGAGUGCGGCAGAGGGGGAUGGAAUUCCGCGUGUAGCAGUGAAAUGCGUAGAUAUGCGGAGGAACACCGAUGGCGAAGGCAAUCGCCUGGGCCUGCACUGACGCUCAUGCACGAAAGCGUGGGGAGCAAACAGG
rnacentral:rRNA from 1 species